GUGCCAGCCGCCGCGGUAAUACGUAGGUGGCAAGCGUUGUCCGGAUUUAUUGGGUUUAAAGGGUGCGUAGGCGGCUUUGUAAGUCAGUGGUGAAAUAUGGCAGCUUAACUGUCAAGGUGCCAUUGAUACUGCGGAGCUUGAGUACAGAUGAGGUAGGCGGAAUUGACGGUGUAGCGGUGAAAUGCUUAGAUAUCGUCAAGAACACCUAUAGCGAAGGCAGCUUACUAGGCUGUAACUGACGCUGAGGCACGAAAGUGUGGGGAUCAAACAGGAUUAGAUACCCGGGUAGUCC
rnacentral:rRNA from 1 species